UCCUGGUUAACCCAGGCAGUCUCUCUAGAGUGCCCAACUUAAUGCUGGCAACUAAAGAUAGGGGUUGCGCUCGUUGCGAGACUUAACCCAACAUUUCACAACACGAGCUGACGACAGCCAUGCAGCACCUGUCUCUACGUUCCCCGAAGGGCACUUCAACCAUUACGUCGAAUUCGUAGGAUUUCAAGCCUAGGUAAGGUUCUGCGCGUUGCUUCGAAUUAAACCACAUAAUCCACCGCUUGUGCGGGCCCCCGUCAAUUCCUUUGAGUUUUAGUCUUGCGACCGUACUUCCCAGGCGGAGAACUUAACGCGUUAGCUUCGUUUCUGAAGGAGUCAAUACCCCCAAAAACCAGUUCUCAUCGUUUACGGCGUGGACUAC
rnacentral:misc_RNA from 1 species